AGGAUACAGUCAGACCUGAACACAAACACCUUCGUUUCAUGACCUGCUAAAAGAAGUGUCAAGUGUGAUGCAAAUUCUUACUCUGAGUGCACACAACUGCAGGCCACUGGAAGAACCGGAGGUUAUCAGAAAAGGCCUGUUUUUCAGAUUUCAUCUUGGAGACCAUUAAUCCUAACGAUCAUGAUAUGAUAAUUCCUUCCACAAGAAGAUAGCUAAUUUGGUUAGACUCUGCUGGGAUUCUGAUCCUUAUGGAACAGUCUGGAACAGCUGCCUGGGCCAUCUGAGAAGUAGACCAGCUCUGCUCAGGGCUUCGUGCGCUGCCUGCUGCCCCCCAGGGUGUGCUCACUUCAGCUGACUCUGCUGGUUCUGAUGGGAACACAACAGACAAGGCAGAGUACUUGGAGGGUCAACAAGCACUGGUGUCUUCCGCCAGCAAAGCAAGCCAAGGCACCAUGCAGUCAGUGCCGGGUUCUGAGUCUGCAGCGCCUGAGUUCCACCCCAGCUCCACCCUCACCACUCUGGGCAUCUGAAAACCAAGGCUGUGGGUGUGCUGUGCCCUGGGGUUCCUGUGAAAAUUGCCUGAGUUACAGCUGUCCCUCAGUAUCCCUGGGGGUGUCUCAGGAUGUUCAAGUCCCUCCCAUAAAAUGAUGCCACAUCUUCCUGUGUACUGGAAGCCAUCUGGAGUUCUUCUUCUGAGUGUAAUGUGAGUGUUGUCUGCGCAGUUGUUACACUGUGUCAUUUGUUUAGGGAAUAAUGUAAAAAGUGGUCUGUACGUAUUCAGUGUGGACACAGCAUUGUCCCAAGGUUUGGGGUCUGCAGCUGGUUGAAUCUGUGGAUGUGGCUGAUAUUUGGCUCAGGUAACAGAAGUGUCGAGUGGCUUGGCUGUUUUCCAAGGGUAGUCACCUCUCCCUUCAGUCUCAUGCAUGGAGCUUACUUGACAGGAUAUUGGGCUCUUUCCGAACUUUGUGCAAAGCCCAGGUAUUCCACCUGCAGACCCCUGGACACACCACUCUGGGAGAAUGCCCUGAGAAGGAUCGUGUGGCACCCCUUGGUGCUGUGAGGUGGGGUUAAGGACUCCCAAGAGACCAGAGGUCUCAUUUGUGCACCUGCCCCAGCUCUUCAGCCUUCCACCCCAAGUCAUGUCUGCUCAGGUGUGCCACCCCACAUGGCCCACUUAGACAGAGUGGGCCUGGGCCAGGUCAUCAUCCUGUAGGUUCCCAAGAAGUGUCCCAGUUUGCUGAGCACCUCACCUGCCAUAGGUUUUGCACUAUGAAUGACCUUACAACAAUAGAAAGUAAGCAGUUCGCUACCGGAUCCUGGCUUUUCACUGACGUUCCUUCACAGCAGUGGUCUGGUCAGGUAGGUUUUCACCUUCCCGUUUUACAAAGGUGAAAAACUGAGCUUCAGAGACUUUAGGUGACUGGCCCUAGGCCACACUCAUUUGUAGAGAUAUAGGUUCAAGGCCAAAUGUGGACAAUAUGGUCAGCUGCCUCGGCUGCCUGUGGAACUGGAGCUAGGACCAAGCUAGGACCAGGUUUCCUGACUGCUGCUUGCUGUCACUUCUCCUAGUCCAGGCUAGUUCUCUGUCACCAGGCGGAGGUGGGCAGGCUAGAGCAGGCUUUCCAGCCAUGGUGCUGGUGGGGAGAACACAAUUUUAGUAAAAGUUGCCAGAAGAUUUUCCUGUUGCCACAUAGAAAUAUGGAAGUUUUUUCUGCUUACUGAGAUCUGUUCAUCCCUCUUCUGAGGGCCUUGUCCCUGAGGGACUCAGAGACCAGCAACUUCAGCAGUUGCAGUGGUCAGGAAUAGUAUUUGCAGCUUGCGGGGGACUCCUGCACGUUAGCUGCUCCUGGCAUCCUCCCCGGCACACACCCGCAUGUCUUCAGACAGGUCUCAGCGCCUCUGUAAGUUGACAGGGCUCUGGGGAAGCCCGCGGCUCUGGCAGCAUUAGCCUCAGCAGACUGCACUUCUUCUCAAGUUAGCUUCCUCUCUCUAAUGGUGCUGUUUACUCCAACUCUGCUGAGUCCAGUUCCUCUGGGACUUGAGAGCCCCCGGCACCCCCAGGGAGCCACCAACUGCCAGCAGCAGAUGGCACGGGCCAUCUCUGCAGCUCCAGCCUGACCAGCAGGCCGAGGCUUCCAACUGUGAGCUCAUCUCCUUGGAAGACAAACAGGGUUUAGCCAACGCUGACCUUGGCCUGUUGACCUUCAAAGACGGCGGCUUCAGGAGGAUGUUGUGGGCUUCCAGACCCCACGUGAAUCAUUCCUGACCCUUUGCCCUGGCUCAUGGGAAGGAAUCCAGAGUCCUGCCCGGCUGACCUCCUGCUGGUAAGAUGGGAAGCAGGGGUCCUGACCACGACCUGAGAUGAUGUUGUGUCCCAGCCGUGGCCCACGUUCAAGACUUGCCUGCCAGCUCAUUAAUUCUCGCUGUCCUUUCAGAAGGAAGAGGACUGUGUCCUCUCUGCUGGGCCCUGAGCCCUUGCCACAUGAAGCAGCUACCCUCCCUCACCCCAGAAUCAGUCGGCACUGUGAGAAGAUUUAGGGAUGUUGUAAAACCAAGCAUGCAAACACCUGGGGAAUAUGAAGCCAUGUACCCUGACUCAUAGAAAGCUGGAACUUUGGACUAAGCAUUGCGUCCUGCUUAGAGCAGGGUUCUCCUGCCUGGAGUCACCUGGGCCAUUCACAAGGUUGGGUGGGUAUCUGUGGUGGGAGGCGCUGUGCUGCUGUGCCUAGGUUCAGGGGCAUUCCCCAAAGAGGGACCACCUCUUCUUUCUUGGGUUUGUUUGGUUUUUGACUUUUCCUGCCCUGCGACAGGCUGGCCUCUGAGGAGGCCGAUCCAACUUAGCUUGAACAAUGCUGGAUUUUUGCCUUCAUUCAAAAGCCUCUAAAAAGAAUACCAAUCAGCUUAACUUCCCCCUCCAAGGUCUGGCUGUGCUUCAUACACCUUUCAGUGACAGAAUGCAGCAAAUCUGUCCCAGCAAACGUGCGUAGGGCUUUGAUCUGAGCAGGCAGUUUAUGGACAGCUACAGCUGAUGCCCAGAGGGGCCCAGCAUGUUGCAAAAUCAAACACAGCCUAGAAAACAAACUGCCCCAGACUGCCGUUCAGGUGGUAUCUGAAGUAGUGGCAGUCAGAGCAAAACUUGUCAGUUAAACCAGAAUCAUUUUUUCAUCAUAAUACCCACUGCCUGGUGCUUCAGUAAUUUCUCACAAUAUAAUGAGCCCAUAUACUUAUAUAUCAAUAUUUUAUUUUAAACCAGAGAAUAAAAUACAAGAUGAUUUUUUUUUGUAUUUACUGUCUACUUUUCUGUUAUAUCGAUUUGAUAGCAACUAAAGAUUGAGUCACAGAAUGGUUGUUUUUUUAAUUCAUUUUUAAAAAUGGCUUUUAUUUUAAUUGGUGACAAAUGAGGAAGGGUGCAUGGCUUGGGGAAAUUCAGACUGAGGUCAUCAAAGUGGCCCAGAAUUUGGAAAUUUUUAUAAAACCCAACUGUUCAAUUGGAUUGGAACUGUGCUAAGGACAGGUUUUCAAGCCAGACUUGUGCCCAAUUCCAUUUGGUUCCUGGCAAAAAAAAAAAAAAAAAAAGCUUGAAGAAUGGUAUUUGGUUUUGUUUACUUGGCAUUUUGAAAGCUGGUUCAUCUGGCUCCCAUCCUGGUUCAGGAAUAAAGAGACCUGGACAUGGGAACAGCAGUGUUGAGGGGGCUGCGGGGGGCUGGUGCUGGGCUUCUAGGUCUCCAGGGUGCCACCAAGGGUGAACAAGGUGCAAGAUGACCUUGACUGUAGCACCUGUGCCCCCCAGUUGCUUUGCAGGCUGAUCUGACCAUCUUCCCUGGGGCCAAAGCACUCUCUUCCUCCCCAUCCCAAGGAGGAAGGCCUUCCACAUAAGCCCUGGGUCCAGCACUGUUCCUGAGCCCUGCAGCUGCGUCAGGGCGUCUCCUUGGUGGGAGAGAGGCCUGCCCUACUUGCCUGCAGGGAGAAGUGAAUGCUGAAGCCUUCACCCCAGUGCUAAUGAAAACUUGUCUCAUUGGCUCGUGUUCUCAUUGGGACACCCACAGCUUGAUCUGUGGUGUUUGGGACUAGACUCUGAGCUCUGCCUUUGGAUCACUCCAUAGCACAGUAGGCAGCCGAAAUCUAAGCUUAUCUCCAUAGGAAGUAAAAAUGAAUCGUUUUUAAGUGGGCUAGAAAAAUAAACCUCAGUUCAUGAACCUUUAAAAACUCAGAAAUGAUCAGAAUUUUGUCUUUUCACUUAAAGUAUAAUUUCCAAGGUGCGAGAUGCCCAUUUUAUACAUUAGUUUUUCCAUGCACAGUUUUCUUCCUCACUGAAGGCAUUCAUUGAAGCAGUGUUAGAACUGGCGGCCAGGCCCACCAAGAAAAAAAAAAAACAAAAAACAUGUUUUUAAACAAAACACUAUUCCCUAAGGUGAAUUUCAAAAAUUUGACAAAUUCAUACUUAGGAUCAGUGAUGGAAAGUUCAGAGUUGAAAGGGACCUGAGUGAAGGUGAAACCCAGCCCUUGCUUCCCAGGAGAGGACAUGCAGAAGCAGGAGGUGGAAGAACUCACUCUCCAACCUGUGCGUGGGGACCCCCACCUUAAUGUCCUGAUGCGGAAACCAUAUACAGUGAUGGAAUGAGAGCUGACCAUGCAAGACGGCCAUGACCGUACUUCACCUACAGCAUCUCUCUAACUCGCAGCAGGACAAAGCAGAUGUCUCAUUCACAUGCAGGUGGAGAAACUCAGGCUCAGGAACAUUAAGUAACUUUCCUGGGGUCACAAAAGGAGAGGGUGCUGGAGCCAGGCCAGUACAUGGAAUGACCUAAAAAGAGACAGUUUUAGUUAGUAGGAAAUAAACUUUCAAAAAUUUUAAGAAAAAAGCAAAGGCAUACAUCUAAUAUACAACAGAAACAAAUGGAAAUUUUAGAAUCAAAAAAACACAAUAUAUGAAUAGAAAAGAAACAAAUCUGACUAUGGGUUAGGAUAUUGUUUCUUACAAUGACGACAAAAACACAAAGAACGAGGAAAAGAUAGAUAAAUUGGCUUCAUCAAAAUCAAAAACUUUUGUGCAUCCAAGGAUACCACUGAGGAAGUGAGAACACACAGAUUGUGAAAAAAUUUAUGAAUUCAUAUCUGACCAUAGACUUGCAUUUAGAAUAUAUAAAAAUACAAUAAAUAAAGAAUUCAAUAACAGAAGAGACAACCCAGAUGACAGUGAGAGGUAUUGUGUAUACCUUUUCAUUUAAAUCAUCAAACAGUUCGUACAGCUGUUGUGAAGCCCUCGUCUUUGUGGUCUACCCACCCUCUCUGAGUCUAGCUCUCUGGAAGGGUGUUCAUCGGGCUACAGUUGGUCUCCUGGUCCUUUGUCUCAUAGCUUUGAACGUAGGACAUCAUAGGUUCUAUCUUAAUCUGAAUUUAAGACGUUCUUUUUUUAAAGAGUUGGAGAUUCGGUCUGGGCUGCAUUUCAUCUGCUGGAUGUGGGGCUUGGUCCUCUGUGCUUUCUUUCCUGGCUUUGUCAGAGGGGGUCCACAGCAGAGGUCUGGUCACUGUCCCAGCACAUACUGCCGCUUCCGCAGAGUCCGACUUGUGUUUCCUCCACAUCCUGACUGCUGCUCCCCGUGUCUCCACGGCCCCGUGCUGCAGUGGGAAGCGGCCCUGGCAGGAAGCUGUGAGUGACAUGCUGGUGCUCCCUUCUCCCAAGGGCAGCCUGCGGUGUCUGUAGUCCAGUUCCUGAAGCUCAGCUUCAUGUGUACUCCAGCUCUGGGGGCAGGCCCACCACCCAUUCCCCUGUCGUGACCAGUCACAAGUCCCUCCUUCUUGAUAUUUAAUCCUUCUCUUUUCAGUAUACUUAAUUAAGCAUUCUGCCAUGUUUAAGUUCUUUUAUGGGGAGAAGUUGAAGAUCAAUAAUAAACCAGCCAAACUUUUAGUCUA